rnacentral:lncRNA from 1 species
GAAAGAAAGAAAGAAAGAAAGAAAGGAAGGAAGGAAGGAAAAAGGAAGGAAGGAAGGAAGGAAGGAAGGAAGGAAGGAAGGAAGGAAGGAAGGAAGGAAGGAAGAAGCUGAAGUCCACCCAGGCUUUCACACCCUUUUGUGUUAUCAGUAGGAAGAGUCACUCUGUCAUAUCGCUCUACCCAGAAAAGGCAGAAGUAAACGUUGGGAAUGAGCCCAGUGUCUUCACUCAGUGUAAACAAAGAUGACUCUGAAGGGAAGGAGGGUUGAAGGAAGGGAGGAAGAGAGAAAGGGAGGAUGGUGUGUGGAGGACAGGAGAGGAGGGCGGUAAGGAGUGCAGGAGGGAUAGGGAGAAGAAAGGAGAGAAGAGUGAGGAGGGAAAAGGAAGGUGAGAAGGAGAGGAAUUUGACUGCUUUAUGACUAAGACACCAUGUAAGAAUCUCAAGGAGGAGAGACUCAAACAGUAUCCAGAAAGAGGGGAGCCCUUCCCUGAAACUCCACCCCCAAGGAGCAGCCCACCACCUCUACCACAGCCAGGGGCAGCCAUUCCUUCUACCUCUAAGUCCCCCAACAUCUUAUCCUUCUUGUCCUCAGAGCCAGUACGAAGCCUGAGUUGGGGGUUGCAUAGACGUUAGGCACAGACUAGGCGAAAUGAUGCGGGACAGUUCGGCCAAAGGCUGAGCUUCUGUGCCCCAGACAAAGGCCCAAGUUUUCUUUCCAGACACCUGUCUCUAGGGGAGCAGGAGCAGGAAAGGGGACGAACCAUCUGAACCUAAGGCUGGGGUCAGUGAACAAGGUGAUGCCAGCUCACCAUGGACACUACCCUGCGGUGUAAGCUGGAAGUAGCCAAGGAUGUGGCCAAGCUGAGAGUUGAUGCCCUCACACAUGCCCACCCUACCUAGAUAUAAAUUGCCCAGUUCUGUGUGCAUCCAGCAAUCUGGUACUGAAGCACACUCUAGUAAUGAGCCCACUAGGGUACUUACUAAAGAAGAUAAGUCCUGAUCAGGACAAACAGUACCUAUGUUAGCACAGAAGCCCUGGAGAGGCAAGGGAACCUUUCUGCCCUGCCCAGUCUCCAGAGGGCAAAGCUGCCCUUCCCUCAUCCUCUGCCCCUGAACUUUAUUCUUUCUGAAGACACUCCACAGUUUUGCCUCCUACAAGACCUACUUCCUUAACUAAGACAUGAGUCCCUCUCUGCCCUGGUAGCAGCCCAAGGCAAGAGGUGGCAUAUACAUUCAACAACUGGGCAGGCCACCUAGGUAACAUUUGCACUGUCAUGUCAGCCCAGAGUUUCCUCCUGUCCAGGCGCUACAUGAGGACCCCAUCAACCCUGAGUUCCUGAGCCAAGCAUGCUCAGUACAAGCAUGAUCAAGUAACAACCGGAUUUAUCCACCCCUGAGGUUCACACCUCCACGGACAAGCUUUUUGCUGCUGUGAAGACAGUACUAACCUCCAGAAGCUGACCUUAAACUACUGGGCUCAAGCAAUCUUCCUGCCUCAGCCUACCAGGACCUGAGGCUCUCCAUAUGUGUCACCAAAACCAGCUCAGAGCAUUUCCUUAUUGAUCCAUGGUAGCACAGGGCAGCUAAGAUGCAAGUCUGAAGGAGGAGUCUGGCGAGCUGCUCCUGCAGUUCCCUGGACCCAGAAAGAUGAGCUAGCAGAUUCACUUGAGCCAAAGGAUUCCAGGCCAGCCUGGAAACUAGAGCAAGACCUGCUCACAUAAAAAGAGGAAAAGGAGAAAGAGGGAAAAGACAAGAAAGGAGGAGCCAGGGGAGGAGACAGUGGACAAAGAGGAAGAGAGAGGAAAGAGGGGAGAAAAGAGAGAAAGAGAGUGUCUCUAUGGGGUGCUAGCAUCUUAUCCUUCUUUAUCUCAUAUCCAGGGGCUGGGGCUGAGGCCAGAAAGGAAAGUGUGAAACAGGGACCCAGAGGGAGAGGUGGGGGGAUGGGCGCUGCUCAGUUUGGUU